rnacentral:rRNA from 1 species
AGGGUUUGAUCCUGGCCCAGAAAGAAAGCUAUAGAUGUGCUUAACACAUGCAAGUCGGUUAUCUAGAAGGUAGCGAAGGCGGACGGGUGAGUAUACUUACGAAAUUGCCAGAAAGGAGCAGGAAUGUUGGAUGAUAUGCGUAAGGUCAGGAGGUAGUUGGUGGGGUAAGGGUGUCACCAAGCCGAGGAGAGAGAGCGGGUCUGAGAGGAUGUACCGCCACAGUGGGACUGAGAGAAGGGCCAAACGUCAGGAGACGGCAGCAGUGGGGAAUAUUGGACAAUGGACGAGAGUCUGAUCCAGCGACAUCAACAGAGUAGAAAACUACUCAGAAAAGAGUGAGAGCGUACGAUAGGAGGUAUGCGAAUGACAAUUGGAGGAGUCCCGGCAAAUUCUGUGCCAGCAGCCGCGGUAAGACAGAAGGGGCGAGCUUUAUUCGGAAUGAUUGGGCGUAAAGGGUCCGUAGGUGUAUGAGUAUUGUAGGGGUAAGUGGAAUUUCCGGAGUACGGGUGGAAUUGGAAGAUACCGGAAGGAAGAUCGGAGGCGAAGGCGGCUUACUGGGCAAGGACUGACAUUGAGGGGACGAAGUCAUAGGUAGCGAAAAGGAUUAGAUACCCUUGUAGUCUAUGAAGUAAACGAUGUACAUUAAUUCUAUGAUUACGUGUGAGAAUAUGUAGUGGUGGGGUGUAGCUAAGGCACGAAAUGUACCGCCUGGGGAGUAAUACCGCAAGGUAGGAAUCUAAAGGAAUUGACGGGGAUACAUACAAAUGGUGGAAUAUGUUGGGUAAAUCGAUAAUACGCGGGGAACCUUACCAGCGCGAGACAGCUUACAGGGUAGAAGUAAGAAGCAGGUGUUGCAUGGUUGACGUAAGCUCGUGUUGUGAAAUGUAGGGUUAAGUCCUUUAACGAGCGAAGCCCUUAUACUUAGGAAUAUUUAGGAAUAGAAAGGUAUGAGACUAAGUAAACAGCCAAGGAGAACUGGGAGGAAGGGGGGGAUGAAGUUAAAUCGUCAUGGCCCAAAUGCGCUGGGCUGUAAAUGUAUUACAAUGGCGAGUACAGAGGGAGGCGAUAGGGUGAACCUGGAGCGGAACGAGAAAGCUUGUCGGAGUGCGGAUUGAUGCAUGAAACUCGGCGUCAUGAAGGAGGUAAUCAUUAAGUAAUCGCGAAGAAGAGUGUUGCGGUGAAAGUGUACUUGUAUCUUGUACAAACUGCCCGUCAAGUCCUGAGACUAAGGGUGGUUCGAAGCGUGACAUAAUGUGGUGUGAGGACCAACUGAGGGAUUGGGAUUAAGUCGUAACAAGGUAGUCGUAGGGGAACCUGCGGCUGAAAUAAGA